rnacentral:tRNA from 1 species
GGCGUUGUGGCUCAGUGGUAGAGUGCUCGCUUCGAGUGUGGGAGGCCCUGGGUUCAAUCCUCAGCACCA